GUCACGAUCUAAAGACGUCGGAUAAAAUUAGAACAACAAAAAGAAGAUUAGUAUGACCUAUGCACAAGAAUGACAAAUAUAAAUCGAAAAAUGAUCCAAAUCUUU